GCCAGACCAGCGCGAUGGAAAUAAACGGGAUUGAUGAGUCAGGCGGUGACGCUUGUUGAACCUCGCACGAUGACGGAAAUAAACGGAAUUUAUGAGCCAGGUGUUGACGCUUGUUGAAACUGGCACGGCGACGGAAAUAAACGGAAUCUAUGAGCCAGGUGUUGACGCUUGAUGAAGUCGGCACGGCGGUGAUGAAAACGGGUGAAACUAACCGUGCCCGGCGUUGACGCUUGAUGAAGUCGGCACGGCGGUGAUGAAAACGGGUGAAACUAACGUGCCCGGCGUUGACGCUUGCUAAAGCUGGCACGGUGAUGUAUCCGGCGGUGAUGAUGGUCCUUCGGCUUCGCGCUGCCUAUUGCUGCCGAUUGCUGGGCGACCGUCCUCGCUGGCGAGCUGGAGAAAAAAAGGGCCCGUUCGGUGUGAAGUGCUUGCUUAUAUAGCAGCAUAGCGCAGCUUUCGUCACCGUAGCGAGGUAAGUUGUAUGCGUAUGGUGCGUUAGUACGUAUGGUGGAAAGCUCUAGCAGCUUUCAUCAUCGUAGUGAGGUGAGUUGGGUGCGUAGUCAAUGCGGUGAAGUUUAGUACGUAUGGUGGUAUGGUGAAGGUACAUGAUGUACUGUGGAGCGAAGUUGACGUAAA